CCGCGAUGCCCUGUAGUUCUCAAACUCUGCCAGGAGAUGGCGGUAGGAACCAACGACAAAAUCCUUUUGCUCGUCUCCUCAGCUUCUCAUUGUCCUGUGGACAUUUCCUGCAUCUAAUCUGAUGCUUAUGAAAACUAUUUCCUCCUUUCAAAAGCACAAGCCCAAACAGAAACUAACCUCACCCUGCAGAUCAAGGAUGUUUGUGCCUUUCCAGUUGUCGAACCCUCCCAGCUACGGCUUAACUGUCAAGUAUUUUCCCAGCAGCUACAUGUCCGUUCCAGGAAGUAAAGUGAGAAACGACUGUGGACUUCCUCUGGGCUGGUGGGAAGGUGUGUCUAGGGGCACCACCCAUCCAGCCACUACACAGAUCCCAACUCCGGGAAGCGGAGCGGGUGGAAGGAUGCUGCGGUGAAUAAUAACCAAUUCUGUGAGAGUGACUUUCCCAAGACCUGAGCUGUUCAACCCACAUGCUUGCCCAGAGGCAGCACCCAGCUUUCUUGUGCACACAAACACAGGUCUCAUAGCGUCCUUCUGGGAGAUGGAGUUUAAAUGGCUGUGACCAACUGAAACACUUCCAAACAGCUCCACAGCUGCGGGGCAACUCAGAUAGGGAAGGUCUGGAGAAGUCACGGAAGGAAGCAGCUGGAGCACCAGAGGGCCUUGGCUUUGGGAUUUGGAAAAGCAGUCGAAGCUCUGGAAACUCCAUUUCCUCAUUUCCUUGCGUGUUAAUUAGAGAUGGCAGUCCUGACUGGCAAACUGUCGGGAGGCAGAGUAAACUGGCCACCAAAUGAUGUUCAAGCCAGAUAGUUAGAAGACAGAUAAUUGUACUUGUAAUUUUGAAAAUCAGACUUAGAAAAAAAAAUUGUCUAUAACAAUACAAAGAAUCCCUAUAUACAUUUUACAGGCUCUCUGAACAUUAAGUUACAACAAAAGCAUGCUGCAAUGAUCAAAAUCAGAAAAUAACAAUCUAGGACUAUUAUAUUACCUAACCCUCAGCCCUCAUUCAAAUUUUACUAAGUGUCCUUUUCUGGCUCAGGGUGAAACAAUGAAUCUAUUGUCUGGAUCUCUCCAGUCCUCUUGAA